rnacentral:rRNA from 1 species
CUAAGAAUCUUCCGCAAUGGGCGCAAGCCUGACGGAGCGACGCCGCGUGGACGAAGAAGGCCGAGAGGUUGUAAAGUCCUUUUCUCACUGAAGAAUAACCUUCAUAGGGAAUGAUGGGGGGAUGACGUUAGGUGAGGAAUAAGCUCCGGCCAAUUACGUG